UGGGGAAUUUUGGACAAUGGGCGAAAGCCUGAUCCAGCAAUGCCGCGUGUGUGAAGAAGGCCUUCGGGUUGUAAAGCACUUUUGUCCGGAAAGAAAUCCUCUGGGUUAAUACCUCGGGGGGAUGACGGUACCGGAAGAAUAAGCACCGGCUAACUACGUGCCAGCAGCCGCGGUAAUACGUAGGGUGCAAGCGUUAAUCGGAAUUACUGGGCGUAAAGCGUGCGCAGGCGGUUUUGUAAGACGGAUGUGAAAUCCCCGGGCUUAACCUGGGAACUGCAUUCGUGACUGCAAGGCUAGAGUAUGGCAGAGGGGGGUAGAAUUCCACGUGUAGCAGUGAAANGCGUAGAGAUGUGGAGGAAUACCGAUGGCGAAGGCAGCCCCCAUGGGCCAAUACUGACGCUCAUGCACGAAAGCGUGGGGGAGCAAAACAGGAUUAGAUACCCUGGUAGUCCACGCCUAAACGAUGUCAACUAGUUGUUGGGGAUUCAUUUCCUUAGUAACGUGAGCUAACGCGUGAAGUUGACCGCCUGGGGAGUACGGUCGCAAGAUUAAAGCUUAAAUGAA
rnacentral:rRNA from 1 species